rnacentral:rRNA from 1 species
AUUGAACGCUGGCGGCAGGCCUAACACAUGCAAGUCGAGCGGAUGAGAGGAGCUUGCUUCUCGAUUCAGCGGCGGACGGGUGAGUAAUGCCCAGGAAUCUGCCUGGUAGUGGGGGACAACGUUUCGAAAGGAACGCUAAUACCGCAUACGUCCUACGGGAGAAAGCAGGGGACCUUCGGGCCUUGCGCUAUCAGAUGAGCCUAGGUCGGAUUAGCUAGUUGGUGAGGUAAUGGCUCACCAAGGCGACGAUCCGUAACUGGUCUGAGAGGAUGAUCCAUCACACUGGAACUGAGACACGGUCCAGACUCCUACGGGAGGCAGCAGUGGGGAAUAUUGGACAAUGGGCGAAAGCCUGAUCCAGCCAUGCCGCGUGUGUGAAGAAGGUCUUCGGAUUGUAAAGCACUUUAAGUUGGGAGGAAGGGUUGUAGAUUAAUACUCUGCAAUUUUGACGUUACCGACAGAAUAAGCACCGGCUAACUCUGUGCCAGCCGCCGCCGUAACAC